GGCUGAUACAGAGUUGUAAACUUGCAAUUGUAGUGACUACUUCAUGCCCAAUCUUCACCACCUCAAGUCAUUCUUGCAACAACAAGAAAUGGGACUUCGACUCUAAACAGCACUUGAGUGUGUGAGAUCAUACAUCCGAACGGGAGAGCAACGCUGGUAAAAUUAAUUUUUUUUAGAUAGAAGAAGACCAAGAGGAAUUUUAUGGGCCCCACAAAGCACAGUUCAGCGUCACGGUGUCGCACUUCAUUAUUGGAGUACCGGCGUGCGUAUGCGAUUACCCGCGGUU
rnacentral:lncRNA from 1 species